rnacentral:rRNA from 1 species
CCCCCCAACGAUUGUCGAACUUGGGAGGUUGUGCCCUUGAGGCGUGGCUUCCGGAGCUAACGCGUUAAGUCGACCGCCUGGGGAGUACGGCCGCAAGGUUAAAACUCAAAUGAAUUGACGGGGGCCCGCACAAGCGGUGGAGCAUGUGGUUUAAUUCGAUGCAACGCGAAGAACCUUACCUGGCCUUGACAUCCACGGAAUUCGGCAGAGAUGCCUUAGUGCCUUCGGGAACCGUGAGACAGGUGCUGCAUGGCUGUCGUCAGCUCGUGUUGUGAAAUGUUGGGUUAAGUCCCGCAACGAGCGCAACCCUUAUCCUUUGUUGCCAGCGCGUAAUGGCGGGAACUCAAAGGAGACUGCCGGUGACAAACCGGAGGAAGGUGGGGAUGACGUCAAGUCAUCAUGGCCCUUACGGCCAGGGCUACACACGUGCUACAAUGGCGCAUACAAAGAGAAGCGACCUCGCGAGAGCAAGCGGACCUCAUAAAGUGCGUCGUAGUCCGGAUCGGAGUCUGCAACUCGACUCCGUGAAGUCGGAAUCGCUAGUAAUCGUAGAUCAGAACGCUACGGUGAAUACGUUCCCGGGCCUUGUACACACCGCCCGUCACACCAUGGGAGUGGGUUGCAAAAGAAGUAGGUAGCUUAACCUUCGGGAGGGCGCUUACCACUUUGUGAUUCAUGACUGGGGUGAAGUCGUAACAAAGGGGAAACCAA